AUUGAACGCUGGCGGCAUGCCUUACACAUGCAAGUCGAACGGCAGCACGGGAGCAAUCCUGGUGGCGAGUGGCGAACGGGUGAGUAAAGUAUCGGAACGUGCCCAGUCGUGGGGGAUAACGUAGCGAAAGUUACGCUAAUACCGCAUACGAUCUAUGGAUGAAAGCGGGGGAUCGCAAGACCUCGCGCGAUUGGAGCGGCCGAUAUCAGAUUAGGUAGUUGGUGGGGUAAAGGCCCACCAAGCCGACGAGCUGUAGCUGGUCUGAGAGGACGACCAGCCACACUGGGACUGAGACACGGCCCAGACUCCUACGGGAGGCAGCAGUGGGGAAUUGUGGACAAUGGGCGAAAGCCUGAUCCAGCCAUGCCGCGUGCAGGAUGAAGGCCUUCGGGUUGUAAACUGCUUUUGUACGGAACGAAAAGGACUGCCCUAAUACGGUGGUCCCAUGACGGUACCGUAAGAAUAAGCACCGGCUAACUACGUGCCAGCCGCCGCAGUAACAC
rnacentral:rRNA from 1 species